rnacentral:rRNA from 1 species
GAUGAACGCUGGCGGCGUGCUUAACACAUGCAAGUCGAACGGAAAGGCUCCUGCUUGCAGGGGUACUCGAGUGGCGAACGGGUGAGUAACACGUGGGUGAUCUGCCCUGCACUUCGGGAUAAGCCUGGGAAACUGGGUCUAAUACCGGAUAGGACCACAUUUUGGAUGGUGUGGUGGAAAGUUUUUCGGUGUGGGAUGAGCUCGCGGCCUAUCAGCUUGUUGGUGGGGUAAUGGCCUACCAAGGCGUCGACGGGUAGCCGGCCUGUGAGGGUGUACGGCCAAUUUGGGGGAGUGAUACGCCCCAAGCACCCCCGGGGGGGGGAGGUGGGGAAAAUUGCACAAGGGGGGCAAGCGUGAGACGGCGCCGCGGCGUGGGGGAGAAUGCCCUCUGGGUUGUAAAACCUUCUCGCAGGGGACAAGGCCAAAGAGGGUGCCCCGGGAGAAAGAACCGCCGCAGACCGCGC